AGCCUUAUAUUCAUUUAAUGAUAAUAGAAUGCAAUUCUGUAGGUGUAGGUAGACUACUAAGGCUU
rnacentral:tRNA from 1 species